rnacentral:rRNA from 1 species
GAAACCCCCGAGAGUGUGGUGGAUCCAUCUUUCUGUGGUUCUUUCACUGAAUCUGAACCGAAGUGCAUGAUGCAUCGUUAGAGGCCCAACAAGAUGGUAGCUUUUGAUGGUGCUUUGACUGGGAGGCGAUUCCUUGGUUGUCCUGUGUAGUAGGUGGAUGCUCCUUGGCCAGAGAUCCUACAAAGGUUCCUAGCAAGGAUUUGGGACAUGUACCAUGAGCAGAACUUGGGUAGGGUGAAGGACAAAUAAGCUCAUGAGAAAGAGGUGGGCAAGCUAAAGAAGGAAAUUGACUUCCUGACAGACAACUACAACCAGUUGGUGGAAGAUGUAUCCAAGAUUUUUGACUAUCAAGAUGGCAAGAUGUCUCAUGACAUGGGCUGUACUAGUCAGGAAAUCAAUGAUCUAAAUGAAAAGAAGAAACAACUCGAGGAUCCGUCAAAGAUUGAGAUAAAGAUGGAGAAGCUGAAGCUUGACAAGGAGCAAAUGUGCAUUCUUCAAAGCCAAGCAGAUAUCAUUCAGAACAUGAGGAAGGCCAUGAAGGAAGUGGAGGGGGAGAGUGAUCUACUUAAGCAAGAAAAUAAGAAAUUGGAGUAUAUGAUUGCUGAUCUGCUCAAGGCUGGGCAUAGUAUCAAAGAUAAGCUGGAGAGGAUCAAGGCAAUAAUGGAUGAGUGA